ensembl:lncRNA
CUGUCAGUGAAUUCUUGGCAUCUGCUGUUUAGUCACUAUUAUAAAUGAAUAUUCAAACAGGAAAAACAAAUAGAGCAGGAAUUAAUUUGUUAGAUGAGCACAAUUUACUGCAAGGAAUCACAGACGAUUUUUAGACCAUCAGCACGACUGUUUUGCCCCAUAAGGGAGGAAAAAACACAAAUGACAGAAUUCUCCUGUGUGGGUUUAUAAGAGCGAACUGUCCAUCCUGCCAAGAGGGAGAGAGAGACACAAUCUCCUGGGAGGAAGACUGAGCCAGGGGAGCUGUCUCUGAGUGUCACCAAGGGAACAUAAUAUGUGUGGAGACCUAUUUGAUCUUCUCAAGAUUCACCUGGGAACACGUGCCUAUCACCAUGAAGAUCAGUGAAAUAUAGCAGACCCCACUGAAGACCUCCAAAAUCUGUCCAAGAAUGAAAUUCAGCAG